rnacentral:lncRNA from 1 species
UGAGUAGGAGGGUGUGCAGCCGGGAGGAGGGUAUAUUGAUGCAGCUCCUGUAAUUGUGAUUAAUAACAGCCUGCUAUCUGGGCGCAGACAGGCGGUUUGUCUGCCCACAAUCAACACAUGACAAAUGGAACUAGUCUCACUGGGGUGUGUAGCAAAGAAAACCGAUGUAGUCUGUGAAGGCAAGGUGGGAGGGGCCACCACAGGAAAUCUACAUUAUUCUAACCUGUGUUUACACGAGGUCAGGGUGUGCAGAGAGAAGUAUUCCACCCCCUGAGUCAUUACAUGUUAGAAUCACAUUUGGCAGCGAUUACAGCUGUGAGUCUUUCUGGUUGGGAAACUUCGGAAGGAGUGGAUGAAGGACAGCAUCUCUAACGUGGGCGUCGGGAUGCUCAAGUCCGUUAAGGAAUACGUGGACCCGGAAAACAUUUUCGGCAACCGAAACCUCCUCUAAUUUACAUGACAUUUUAUAACAGCCUCUUGGAAUAAUGGUUACUAAAUGUGACAAGAAGUAUCAAUGUCUUUCACCUUCGGUAUGACUUAGUCAGUUGUGCAGUCAACAUCAGUCAGAUAACUUGCCUUGCAUUACAUUACUGCACUUAACAUGCUGUAACAAUAAUUGUCUGUGAUUCAUUUCGAAGCUCAUGGCAUCAAGUCCUCAGUAAUGUCCUCAACCAGGAUGAUAUGGUGAAUGAAGCAGUCAGGUCCUCAGUAAUGUCCUCAACCAGGAUGAUAUGGUGAAUGAAGCAGUCAGGUCCUCAGUAAUGUCCUCAACCAGGAUGAUAUGGUGAAUGAAGCAGUCAGGUCCUCAACCAGGAUGAUAUGGUGAAUGAAGCAGUCAGGUCCUCAGUAAUGUCCUCAACCAGGAUGAUAUGGUGAAUGAAGCAGUCAGGUCCUCAGUAAUGUCCUCAACCAGGAUGAUAUGGUGAAUGAAGCAGUCAGGUCCUCAACCAGGAUGAUAUGGUGAAUGAAGCAGUCAGGUCCUCAGUAAUGUCCUCAACCAGGAUGAUAUGGUGAAUGAAGCAGUGUAUCAUACUAACGAUAGUACUGUUGAUCAUUUCAGUCACGUGUAUACAACACGCCGUAAGAAUGGCCUUUUCAUAUUGUACAUGAUGCAGGUUAACUUUUUGUGAUCCCAUAUUUGCCUACAAUUUAAUUGUUUCCUAUAAUUCUUGCCAAUUUCAUUAACUAGAUAUUUUUUUGGUAGAUGUUUAUUUACCUGUGUUUGGCACUACUUGAACAGUGAGUUCUAGAUGAAUGCUUUUUCUAAAGCUCUGUGCCUUUCUGAAGAUGUCUAUCUUCACCCUUUCCUACACACACACACUGUGGAAGCUUGACUGGUUUGUUUAUGGCAUCCUAUAUCUUCCCUUAUAAUGUGCGUGUCCUUCAUUCUAGAUUUCCUGUUUUCCAGUGGGUCUUUGUUUCUCUACUCAAGCCUUGUAUUACUUAUACUAUUAAUGAUUGCUAAGAGAUGUGUAUUUUGUUGUACCGACCUAGGAGGAUUUAUAUUACGUUGAAAGUCGUGCCUCUGCUGAAAAUGUACCUCAGGGUAAAAAUGUCCCUCAAACCCAAACGUUAAACUGUUUGAAGAAACUAGGAUAUGAUGCUUAACAACUUAUUUUUUUAAUUGAUGUUUUAUUUUAGAUUUGACCUUGCAUGGUCUUUGCCUGUCAUACAGAGUUCAGUUUGUGGACAAUGUACUUGAAUCAUACAUGCUUUUAGUGUGAACAUGUUACAGACGACUGAAUCCCAAAACCCAUGUUUGUACCAAAGACUUUCAGCACAACUGUUUCACUGCUUUAUACAGACCAUGCAAACAUCCUGGAUGUAUAGGUCUGUACAUGCUGUAUAGUUAAAUGUAUGGGACAUUCAUACAGUUAAUACAUGAACCUAUAACCUGAUUAUACAUAUUUUUAUUCAAUUCAGAUAUGCAAAUUUACAAAUAUCAAAAUGUGUUCAUAUUUGUUACUUUAAAUGUUACAUGUUCAUGUCAAUGAAAAACAUUUUCUUUAAAUUCAAUUACAAUAUUUUGUCACUACUUUAAAAAAAAACAAUUGCCUACAAGCAAGAGAGGUUGUAUUUAGACAAAAAUACAUCCGACUAAAUUGUCUGUUCCCUGGUGAGGGUCCCAGUGUUGUGGUUUUGUUGGAAAGGAUACAUUUGAGUGAAAGAUAAUUGUACCUUUGUCACAAUUUACAGAUGAUUAUGCGUAUAAGUUUGGCGUCUUUGCGAGGCAUGUGUCGAUGUUGUGCCCAAUCCUAAAGUCAGACAUGGGAUUCUACUGUACGGUGCUAGACUAAGAUACAUGAAAUGUAUUGCUACCGUUUUCCUGUCACUACUGCGUGACUGUGUUCCUCCUGUUCUCAGCCUCGCAGUUUUCCCACAGUGCAUUGUCACCUUCCUGCCCAAGUAUCUCACCUCUCCACCUCCAAUGAACAUGUUGUCAAAGGAAAUGGUGGAGCCGGAGACAGCGUUUUAUCUAAUCAGUUUCAUGCUUUUACUUCCUGUGAUGGUUCCUGAAAGAGAACUUAAAUGAGAGCUUGAAAUCUGAAUGUUAUGCAUGUACUUUUUUUUGUGUUAUUUUUCAAUUCUUAAAGUUAUUAACAUUUAAGUACCUUUUAUCAAUGAUGUUUGUGCAGUAAAUACAUUGAAAUAAAACAAGCAGUAGUCUGGAUAUUUUUCAGAUAACAGAAUGACACCAAUCGGUUGAAUAGAAAUGCAGUUGACAGGAAAUGUCUCUGUUUGUCCGUGACGUAAUGCAUAUUCAUAAUAAAGUUCAACAUACGAGGUA